rnacentral:misc_RNA from 1 species
UCCGGUUUGUCACCGGCAGUCUCGCAUGAGUCCCCGGCCGAACCGCUGGCAACAUGCGACGGGGGUUGCGCUCGUUGCGGGACUUAACCCAACAUCUCACGACACGAGCUGACGACAACCAUGCACCACCUGUCCACCGACCCCGAAGGGAAACCCCAUCUCUGGGGCGGUCCGGUGAAUGUCAAGCCUUGGUAAGGUUCUUCGCGUUGCAUCGAAUUAAAGAACAUGCUCCGCUGCUUGUGCGGGCCCCCGUCAAUUCCUUUGAGUUUUAGCCUUGCGGCCGUACUCCCCAGGCGGGGAACUUAAUGCGUUGGCUACGGCACAGGAUCCGUGGAUAGGACCCCACACCUAGCACCCAUCGUUUACGGCGUGGACUAC